AAUAGAUACCCUGGUAGUCCACGCCGUAAACGUUGGGCGCUAGAUGUGGGGACCUUUCCACGGUUUCCGUGUCGUAGCUAACGCAUUAAGCGCCCCGCCUGGGGAGUACGGCCGCAAGGCUAAAACUCAAAGGAAUUGACGGGGGGCCCGCACAAGCGGCGGAGCAUGCGGAUUAAUUCGAUGCAACGCGAAGAACCUUACCAAGGCUUGACAUACACGAGAACGGGCCAGAAAUGGUCAACUCUUUGGACACUCGUGAACAGGUGGUGCAUGGUUGUCGUCAGCUCGUGUCGUGAGAUGUUGGGUUAAGUCCCGCAACGAGCGCAACCCUCGUCGCAUGUUGCCAGCACGUUAUGGUGGGGACUCAUGUGAGACUGCCGGGGUCAACUCGGAGGAAGGUGGGGAUGACGUCAAAUCAUCAUGCCCCUUAUGUCUUGGGCUUCACGCAUGCUACAAUGGCCGAUACAAAGGGCUGCGAUGUCGUAAGGCGGAGCGAACUACCGAAAACGCCGGUCUCGUAGGUUCGGUAUUGAGGU
rnacentral:rRNA from 1 species